rnacentral:rRNA from 1 species
UACGUAGGGGGCUAGCGUUGUCCGGAAUCAUUGGGCGUAAAGAGCGUGUAGGCGGCCCGGUAAGUCCGCUGUAAAAGUCAAAGGCUCAACCUUUGAAUGUCAGUGGAUACUGCCGGGCUAGAGUCCGGAAGAGGCGAGUGGAACUCCUGGUGUAGCGGUGGAAUGCGCAGAUAUCAGGAAGAACACCAACGGCGAAGGCAGCUCGCUAGGACGGUACUGACGCUGAGGAGCGAAAGCAUGGGGAGCGAACAGG